CACAACAACCAGAAAUACCUUGUUGUUGUUGGCAGUUUGGCGGGUGUGGCCUCAUAAAAAGGAUGUGCCUGUUGAAGAAAUGGACUUGCCUUUCAUCCAUGUCCCGACGUGCAUGCCGAUCAGAUACACAGAGCCCCUGUAACCUGAUGUGUGCUUUUAAGAUUUGUUGUUUUGUGAACCCAACUAUCUUAUAUACAAGAUUGAUGUACGAUGUUUAUUUCCUGGUACAGAGAUAGAAAGUUUAGCAAUAUAUUAUGGGAAGUGCGUAGAUACAUGAAUGCUUAAUGACAUUGAUGGUGAGCUAAAAGAAAAUUUAGCAAUUUAUUAUGUUGUAACUUCAUCAUAUAAACUAGUGGUUAAAUUCAUGUGGUAAAUCGUUCAGGUAAGUUUUAUGUCAAGAGUGCCAGGUGAACAUCCGGAUGUUGCAGAAUUGAACACAGGUAGGGUUGAUGUAUCAUAUGCCUGAUUUGGGUAUCUGCCAUUGGAGUUGCUUAUGAACUUUGAUAUGGUCUUUCAUAUAACUAGUAUAUAGAGGAAAUAUGCGAUUUUUCUGAGGAGGUCAUUGUUUGAUGUCAGGUACCAAAUUUGAAAGAAGUGGUACAAGUGUACAACUAGAGAAGUUGCGGAAACAAUUGUAGCUGCAGAAACAGUGACCCAAGGUGUUGUCGCUCAAGCUAACUAGCAUGCAAGGCCAACAACUAAGCGUCAUAGCAAGAGAUGUGUCCACAGAAAGAACCGGAAAUGUAGGAAGAGAGUCCAGUUAUUGAGGACCACACAACACAUUGAAGCAUCAGACAACUCCGAUGAUGAUGAAGAUAAGAGCAUCGAUGAGGCACCCACAAAUACUGGUGUCCGAAGAAUGAUACAUCAUCUGCUGCUAAUGGGGGGAUUUUUGCAAUAGAUAUGUGGAAGUUGAUCUACAGGUUAAUUAGUGUAACAAGGAAUAUGAUUUAUAGUGACGCAAUGCUUGAUAACUUAGGCGCAAAUCGUCUGAGGGAACAGAUGUAGUGUCCAGACAGAUGUUGGUGAACCUAAGGUUGCUAGUUCGUAUGGUGAGGACAAUUGUGUAGGGUGAUAUGGGGGAUAAAUUUCCGAAGGAAAGCCGGUUUUGAAGCACGAAAAGCCAAAUGCAGGAGAUGUGGUGAUUUUCUAUGACAAAAUCCUGUCAUGUACCAACAGGCAUUUUAGCAAGAUAUGGUUCAAGCACAUGGUUCCAACAUUGGCUUCCUGACGGGAGAGGACUACAUAAAGGAGUUUGGACAAUUAGAACAGUCUUGGUUAACAACUUAAGCUGAACCAACUUCACUAUCUCUGGAGGUCAAUUGGGUAUGAGGUGAUCUUGGUUAGAGGUAAACAUGGGUGAGUGCCCGACUUCAUGAUCGAG